CAGUCGCCACGGGAAUACGAAGGGGGCUAGCGUUGUUCGGAAUUACUGGGCGUAAAGGGCGCGUAGGCGGCCAUUCAAGUUAGAUGUGAAAGCCCUGGGCUCAACCUAGGAAUUGCAUUUGAUACUGUUUGGCUUGAGUUCGGGAGAGGUGAGUGGAAUUCCCAGUGUAGAGGUGAAAUUCGUAGAUAUUGGGAAGAACACCAGUGGCGAAGGCGGCUCACUGGACCGACACUGACGCUGAGGCGCGAAAGCGUGGGGAGCAAACAGGAUUAGAUACCCGGGUAGUCCCUGUCUCUUAUAA
rnacentral:rRNA from 1 species